rnacentral:rRNA from 1 species
ACUCAAAUGAAUAGACGGGGGCCCGCACAAGCGGUGGAGCAUGUUGGUUAAUUGGAUGAUACGCCAAGAACCUUACCAGGGCUUGACAUCGACGGGACAGCUGGUGAAAGCCAGUUUCCGUAGCAAUACGGUCCGUUGACAGGUGGUGCAUGGUUGUCGUCAGCUCGUGUCGUGAGAUGUUGGGUUAAGUCCCGCAACGAGCGCAACCCUCGCUGGAUGUUGCCAUCGGUUCGGCCGGGAACUCUUCCAGGACUGCCCGAGUAAUCGGGAGGAGGGAGGGGACGACGUCAAAUCGGCAUGCCCCUUACGCCCUGGGCUGCAAACGUGCUACAAUGGCCGGUACAAAGGGUAGCUAAGCCGCGAGGUGGAGCCAAUCCCCAAAAGCCGGUCCCAGUUCGGAUUGGGUGUCUGCAACUCGACCCCAUGAAGUCGGAAUCGCUAGUAACCGUGGAUCAGCAACGCCACGGUGAAUACGUUCCCGGGCCUUGCACACACCGCCCGU